rnacentral:misc_RNA from 1 species
GUGAUUAAAUCGAGCGUGUCUUCAUUGACCGCUCACCCUUCUCACCAUCCACAUACACCUGUUGCACUGUUUAGCCUGAGCCGGUUUUUCCGGUCCAGGUUAUCAUUUCAUACAAACUCUAGUCUUAUGAAUGUAAACGUUUUAAUAACAAUAAUAAAACUAUAUAAUCAAUA